AACAUGGCGAGAUGUUGGCUGGAGGAAGGCCAAUGCAAAACUGCGGGGCGACGAGCAGAAACCCCAUCUGAGGGGUGGCCCAUCCGGGACGAGUGGGCGCGUGAGGGCGAAGUUCUACCU
rfam:Nitrosococcus halophilus Nc4, complete genome.